CCUACGUGAUCUGCAGUGGGGAAUAUUGGACAAUGGGCGAAAGCCUGAUCCAGCCAUGCCGCGUGUGUGAAGAAGGCCUUCGGGUUGUAAAGCACUUUCAGAGGGGAAGAAAGCCUUGGGGCUAAUACCCUCGAGGAAGGACAUCACCCACAGAAGAAGCACCGGCUAACUCCGUGCCAGCAGCCGCGGUAAUACGGAGGGUGCGAGCGUUAAUCGGAAUUACUGGGCGUAAAGCGCGCGUAGGCGGUCUGAUAAGCCGGUUGUGAAAGCCCCGGGCUCAACCUGGGAACGGCAUCCGGAACUGUCAGGCUAGAGUGCAGGAGAGGAAGGUAGAAUUCCCGGUGUAGCGGUGAAAUGCGUAGAGAUCGGGAGGAAUACCAGUGGCGAAGGCGGCCUUCUGGACUGACACUGACGCUGAGGUGCGAAAGCGUGGGUAGCAAACAGGAUUAGAUACCCGGGUAGUC
rnacentral:rRNA from 1 species